AGCAAUCUUAAUGGUUGAGUUCUAAAUUGAGUAUCCAACAAAUAAAAUUAAAAUUAAAAAGAAAAAGAAAAAGUAACACCAAUAAAAAACAGAAUCACAGGCAAAUAGUAUUUAAGAGAUGUCCUAAAAGGCUAAACAUGUCUUUAUUAAGAUAUUUUCGGUCAUUCUUUUACUUACUUUCUAUUUUUUAAUAUUGAUUUUUUUUUUUAACUCCACCUCCUCAUUAGCACGUUGUAGGUGCUCUUAGAGCAACCUUAAUGAUUGAAACUGUAUUUGGAUAUCUGAAAAAGUUAAUUAACAGUAUUUUAAUUAUUUUUGUUUAAA
rnacentral:lncRNA from 1 species